UUGGGAUCCCUCGUGGGGUCACUCCUGGGGUCACAUUUGGGGUGCUGGGGUCACAUUUGGGGUCACUUUUGGGGUCACUUUCAGAGUCCCAUUUUGGGUCACAUUUGGGUUCAUUUUUGGGGUUCUGGGGUCACUUUUGGGGUCACAUUUGGGGUCCCUUUUGAGAUCCUGGGGUCACAUUUGGGGUCACUCCUGGGUCACUUUCAGAGUCCCAUUUUGGGUCCAUUUUUGGGUUCAUUUUUGAGGUUCUGGGGUCACUUUUGGGGUCACUUUUGGAGUCACAUUUGAGGUCACAUUUGGGGUCACUUUUGGGGUCACUUUUGGGUCACUUUCAGAGUCCCAUUUUGGGUCCAUUUUUGGGUUCAUUUUUGAGGUUCUGGGGUCACUUUUGGGGUCACUCUUGGG